GGGGAUGCUACGGAUUCGACAGAGAUGUAGCGUAACCGAGGCAAGCCGAGGAUUCUCGACAGCUCGUUAAACUUCGAGAAAACCAAUAAGUGCAAACUUAUUCAAUAGAAAACCUGCGCUAGCAUACGCAUAGCGUCAUCUGCCCCUCUGAUUCUCGAUAAGAACGGGUGGGUGUCAUAAAAAUCGAGAUAGGUAUUUUUUCUUUCGAUCUUAAGAGAAAAUUCCAAAAACUACUAAGAUCGGGUGUAAAAAGGUUUUGACUUGAUUUUUCACUUUCUAUACCUAAAACAAAUCAGUCUAAGCUUGUAGAAUCGUUUAUGAAACAUUCUUUGGACGCGGGUUCGACCCCCGCCAUCUCCACAU
rnacentral:tmRNA from 1 species